GCACGUUCACUCAUAUAUGCUACUUCUACUCCGGAAGUACCAUCCACAUAUAUCCACCCAUUCCAUCUCCAGAAUCACCCAAAAAUAUUCUACUCCUAAUCCGGGAGAGAAUAACCAAAAAUAUUUCUGUUUUCCCCUUGUGAAAUAAAUGCUCAAGUUAUCUUGUUACUACCACUUGCUAUAUUAUCUCAAGAGAUGAAUACUCUAAAAAAAAGAAAGAGAGAUACGAGAAAAUAAAAAGGAGCAAGUGCUCGGAACCUCGAAAGAAAAAAAAGAGUGAGACGAGAGGUAAAAAUGGACAAGUGUUCGACAGUAGAAUUAGGGGUACAAGAUACCCACCUGAGAGAAAAGAAAAAGAAGAGCAUCUCAUUCUCCUCAUAAAAUUUCAAAAGCAAGAAAGGUAUGUAUCCCCUCAAAGAGCAAAGUAGAAUUAGACUUCCACCACCAUUGUUUUCACCAUUGUUAUCACCAUCAUCACCAUACACCAUUCAUUCGCCACACAUGCACAUCUUGAUUUGGCUUAUUGAUUUGUUUCUUUGGAUCCAUGGUUUGACUAUGCAAUAAAUGUCUUAUAAGUAUGUAUACUUUAUCUCCCACCUAUGAGCUCCAGAUAUAAAAGCCUUAUUAGAGUAGGGUGAGAGAGAGGGCAAUGUCACUAUGCCUCAUACCACAAAUACUACAUAUCUUGAGAGAAGGCAUAUACCAUCACUGCCUUGGUAAGGAUCCAAAAAUACCACAAAAGAGAGAUCUGAGAGAGUCAUACAAGGAAUUUCUGAGUUUUAUUUGAAAAUCUGCAAAAAACCCCAGAGCUAUAGCUGAUCAAGAAUAAGAGACAUGGCACUUGGCUAGACUGUUCUAUCUUUUAACCACUCAAGACAGAAGUGACAGUUACAAGUCCCAUGGUGAAGGUAAAGUAAGUAAGUUUUAAGUCUUGACAGUUUACUCUAACUCCGAGAUGAGAUCUUAUUUAAAAGCAUGUGUACCGUCAAAUUUUUAAAGAUAUUGCA
rnacentral:lncRNA from 1 species